CCUCUUAUUUUCCAGCCCUUUUGCGUUGUGCCCUAGCCCCUCUGAUAGAUAGAGACGAACAGAGCUAAAGACGAACAGAGCUGGACAGAUCGAACGGGAGAGGCGACGAACGCGAGGGCGAAAGAGGCGACGGACGAACACACAAAGGUCCGACGAGGAUUGACAUGUCAACGAGUUCAAACAAUGAUGCUGGAUUCUUUCAAAAUAAAAGAUGCAAAUGUGGGAAAAAAGCAGGAGUGUACAUAUCAGAAUCAGAGAAAAAUCCAGGGAAGUUGUAUUUCAAGUGUGCAAAUAAGGCUUGUGACUACUUUGCGUGGGGAGUGCCUCCUACUGGGAAUGGAU